rnacentral:lncRNA from 11 species
GGAAAAGGCCCCUUCCAGAUCCUCAGAUUAUGAACCAGCAAAUAUUGUCUUCAGCUGCUCCCAUAAAAGGAAAUACUUAGCCCAAUAUCCUGAUGAUCUUAGCCUACUUGCUGUGCUUACUAAGCACAGCUUUUAUGAUAUGUUCGCACAAGUCUUCCC